GCUCAAUGUUAAUAAAUAGCCGCAGAAAUCUGUGCUAAGGUAGCAUAAUCAUUUGCCUAAUAAUUCUAGGCUAGUACGAAAGAUUUAACAUUCUAGUUUCUUUCUUUUUUAUAACCCUUCCAACCUAUUUUAAUUAUUAAAAAAUAAUUAUCAACAGAAAGACGACAAGACCCUAACGAACUUUACUUUAGUUUAGCUGGGGCAGCUUAUUAAUAAUUAUUUUAAAUCUACAUUAUUCUAUAAAACGACCCAAUACAAUUGUCCGCAUGAUCAAGUUACCGUAGGGAUAACAGCACAAUCUUUUACUCUAGCUCUUAUUUAAUAAAAAUAUUGUGACCUCGAUGUUGAAUUAAUUCCCUAACUAACGCAACCGUUAUUACAAGGAGGUCUGUUCGACCUUUAAUAAAUUACAUGAUUUGAGUUCAGACCGGUGUAAACCAGGUCGGUUUCUAUCUUCUCAUUUAUUUUUUCAGUACGAAAGGAAAAAAAAAUAUAUUAUUAAUAUCUAUAUGGCAGAAAAUUGCACUAGAUUUAGAAUCUAACAAAAACUUCAUACACACUCUCAACUUAUUA
rnacentral:misc_RNA from 1 species